AGAGUUUGAUCAUGGCUCAGGACGAACGCUGGCGGCGUGCUUAAUACAUGCAAGUCGAGCGAGGUUACUGUUUUGGAUCCCUUCGGGGUGAAGAAGCUUUAACCUAGCGGCGGACGGGUGAGUAACGCGUGGGUAACCUACCCCAAAGUCCGGGAUAACAGCGGGAAACCGCUGCUAAUACCGGAUGUCUUUACCUUGGGGCAUCUUGAGGUAAAGAAAGGCAACGCUUUGGGAUGGGCCCGCGUCCCAUUAGCUAGUUGGUGAGGUAACGGCUCACCAAGGCAACGAUGGGUAGCCGGCCUGAGAGGGUGGACGGCCACACUGGGACUGAGACACGGCCCAGACUCCUACGGGAGGCAGCAGUAGGGAAUAUUGCGCAAUGGACGGAAGUCUGACGCAGCGACGCCGCGUGAGCGAUGAAGGUCUUCGGAUCGUAAAGCUCUGUCCUUGGGGAAGAAGGCGAAAGCUUGACGGUACCCAAGAAGAAAGCCCCGGCUAACUACGUGCCAGCAGCCGCGGUAAUACGUAGGGGGCGAGCGUUGUCCGGAAUUACUGGGCGUAAAGGGUGCGUAGGCGGCCCUUUAAGUCGGAUGUGAAAGCCCGCGGCUUAACCGCGGAAUGGCAUUCAAAACUGGAGGGCUUGAGUGUCGGAGAGGGUAGUGGAAUUCCCAGUGUAGCGGUGAAAUGCGUAGAUAUUGGGAGGAACACCAGUGGCGAAGGCGACUACCUGGACGAUAACUGACGCUGAGGCACGAAAGCUAGGGGAGCAAACAGGAUUAGAUACCCUGGUAGUCCUAGCCGUAAACGAUGGGUACUAGGUGUGGGUGGUUUCGAUACCAUCCGUGCCGUAGUUAACGCAUUAAGUACCCCGCCUGGGGAGUACGUGCGCAAGCAUGAAACUCAAAUGAAUUGACGG
rnacentral:rRNA from 1 species